GGUUAAGUGAAUAAGGGCGCACGGUGGAUGCCUUGGCACUAGGAGCCGAUGAAGGACGGGACUAACACCGAUAUGCUUUGGGGAGCUGUACGUAAGCUAUGAUCCAGAGAUUUCCGAAUGGGGGAACCCAACAUCUU
rnacentral:rRNA from 1 species